rnacentral:tRNA from 1 species
GCCCCUAUAGCUUAAAAGGAUAGAGCUGCGCAGUCCUAACGCGCGGAUCCCCGUUCGAUUCGGGGUAGGGGCGCCA